rnacentral:rRNA from 1 species
GUUUGAUCCUGGCUCAGAAUCAACGCUGGCGGCGCGCUUAACACAUGCAAGUCGCACGAGAAAGUGGAGCAAUCCAUGAGUAAAGUGGCGUACGGGUGAGUAACACGUGGAUCAUCUACCUCUUAGUGGGGAAUAACCCUGGGAAACCGGGGCUAAUACCGCAUAAGCCUGCGAAGGGAAAGCAGCAAUGCGCUGAGAGAGGAGUCCGCGGCCGAUUAGCUAGUUGGUAGGGUAAUGGCCUACCAAGGCAAUGAUCGGUAGCCGGCCUGAGAGGGCACACGGCCACACUGGCACUGAAACACGGGCCAGACUCCUACGGGAGGCAGCAGUGGGGAAUCUUGCACAAUGGAGGAAACUCUGAUGCAGCGACGCCGCGUGAGCGAUGAAGCCCUUCGGGGUGUAAA